rnacentral:ncRNA from 1 species
GCUCACACGCAGGGGAACCCGGGACGCGUCAAACGGACCGGGUUGAGAGAGGCGAUACAGCCUGACCCUUUGAACCUGUUGGCUAAUACCAUCGUAGGGAGAAGAAUGAGCAAUCAA